AAACAACAAAAUUUUUCAUACCCUUGUGCCUCUUUCCUCUUCCUUGUUCCCACAUUUCAACUGCAGAGGAGUACAGUAACCAGCUGUACAUUGGAAAUAAGCUUCAGUAUAUAAAACCCAGCCUCAAACACUGGCAGUCAAGUCCUAGAGAAAGCCUCAUCUGUGCACCUGAAGGACAUGGAGUUGUGAAAACGUGAACUAAGGAGAGAAAAUGCACUGUCUGCAGAAUCCUUUGUCAUGGGAAAAGCACAGGAAGUGCAAUACUGCAACAUCUACAACUGCUCUGCCCUUCUGGGAUUGAACUCUUAAUCUUCUGUAUAAUGGAGAUUAAUAUCCCUUACAGAUGCAAAUGUAG